GCCCCCGUAGCCCAAGGGAGGAGAGGCUGACCCCCUAAAAGGGUCUGCAGUGUCGGUUCGAACCCGACCGGGGGCA
rnacentral:tRNA from 1 species